rnacentral:rRNA from 1 species
AGCGAACGCUGGCGGCAGGCCUAACACAUGCAAGUCGAACGAACUCUUCGGAGUUAGUGGCGGACGGGUGAGUAACACGUGGGAACGUGCCUUUAGGUUCGGAAUAACUCAGGGAAACUUGUGCUAAUACCGAAUGUGCCCUUCGGGGGAAAGAUUUAUCGCCUUUAGAGCGGCCCGCGUCUGAUUAGCUAGUUGGUGAGGUAACGGCUCACCAAGGCGACGAUCAGUAGCUGGUCUGAGAGGAUGACCAGCCACACUGGGACUGGGACACGGCCCAGACUCCUACGGGAGGCAGCAGUGGGGAAUCUUGCGCAAUGGGCGAAAGCCUGACGCAGCCAUGCCGCGUGAAUGAUGAAGGUCUUAGGAUUGUAAAAUUCUUUCACCGGGGACGAUAAUGACGGUACCCGGAGAAGAAGCCCCGGCUAACUUCGUGCCAGCCGCCGCCGUAAUAC